rnacentral:rRNA from 13 species
GGAAGGAAUAAGAUUCGUGCCAGGUCGUACUCAUAACCGCAGCAGGUCUCCAAGGUUAACAGCCUCUAGUUGAUAGAAUAAUGUGGAUAAGGGAAUUCGGCAAAAUGGAUCCGUAACUUCGGGAUAAGGAUUGGCUCUAAGGAUCGGGUGAGGGAGUCUGUAGCGAGACGGUGGGGGUUUCCGGCGGACUGUUUUCGGACGGACUGCUAGAGACGCCUGCUAGACCACUGCGGUGCCUGCCUCACGCUUAACGAUCAACUUAGAACUGGUACGGACAAGGGGAAUCUGACUGUCUAAUUAAAACAUAGCAUUGCGAUGGCCAGAAAGUGGUGUUGACGCAAUGUGAUUUCUGCCCAGUGCUCUGAAUGUCAAA